rnacentral:misc_RNA from 1 species
ACGAGUUAGGGCCUCUGGCCGAACCUUCAUACCCUUUGUAUGCAAACCUCUGUUGCCUCGGGGAGGCCUGCCUCACGGCUGGCCCAACGAUGGACCACUUAAACUCUGCAAUCUGUAUGACGUCUGAGUAUAAGAUUUAAUUAAUCA